GUAAAAGCAAUAUUAUCCAACAUGAUAAUUUCAACCAGUACAUAGGACCACAAUCAACCACAACAUAUAAGCAAUAUUAUCCAACAUGAUAAUUUCAACCAGUACAUAGGACCAUCAUCAACCACGACAUACUGUUAGAGUACGUACACGUCUACAUUUUAUGAAAGCUAGAAACUUAAAGUCAUCUAUAGCCAACAAUUUUUAAUUGACCCUACUGGUCUACAUCCAGUCUAAAAGUACCGUCGGGGAUGCUAGCUAACAGAGAAGCUUCUUUUUUCAGAAAUAGAACACAUGUCCUGUUUCGAGAAAAUGGAAGUUAACACCACCAAGUAAAUCAAUCUUGAAAAAAUAAUAAAGUUUCGAGAUGACCCUACAUUAUCAAUUUACACAAAUGUAUGUCAUAUCUUUUCUUACAUAUUCAUAUUGGAGAAUAAAGUCAUCCAGGAAUAAACAAAAUGUUCAGAUUAUCAGUUUUCGUUAAUAUGAAACCUUAUGAAUCAUAUUUCCUCAAGUAUGUACGUCUCCCAGCCGCGCGUCAACACCUUUCUCAUGUUCAGUUUCGAAGCUUCGCCAUUCACCACGACACGGCCGAGCCGCCGCCAUCAAUUUCUUUGAAAACUUGGAUAGAUAGAUUAGAUAGAUAUACAGUGCACCAAAAUAGAAUAUAUUCAUAGGAAAAGUAAUGAAUACACCUGAUAUCCCAACUCCCAAGAAACUUUUGUGGUAAAAUAAAACUAACACAUACCAUGGCUAUCCAACAGUACAGAGUAGUCAGUUUAUCUAACAGCAGCAAAAGUGCACAACUUAUCAGUUUAAUACAUGAAAGAAUAUUUAAACUCCAACAAAACAUUUCAUAACCCCUCUUCUAACCCAUUUAGACAAGCUGUACUAAAUCGUACUAUAGCAACAACGACAAGGGAGCAUCAUUCAGCAGUAGCAACACACAUACCGAGGGCAUCAAUGCAGUUCACAUCUUGAGGGGAAUUCUCUGCUUAUUGCCCCUUCCUCCAGUUUGCAUGUGACAAAUUUCAAUGUAAAUUUUCCUAGAACUCUUGUAAAAAAGAGAGUGGCCCAAAUUAGAAUUUUAUCCCGAAAACUCUUAACUUUGCAUAAUAGAACAAAACUAAAAGUUUCAGAUCACAUCAUUAAAUAUCUUCAAGGAUAGAAAAAGAAAAGAAAAAAAGGAACAAUGUAGUCUGUUGAUUUUCUAAUUUCAUUGAUCAGCAAGAAUGCUAUUUCAUUUUACAACAAAAGAAAGCAGAUACAAGUAGCUAGAUACAUCAACACUAUAAAUGGACAAACUGAACUGAAGACUACCUUGUGGUCCUUCCAAAAUUCUUUCACAACCCAAACCAUGAGAUAAAGUACAUCAAGGCUCUUACAGAAGACUUGCAACUAAAUUAUUAGUAAUUAUAUGAGCAUCCCUUUUCAGAGAUUUAGUAAGGAGAAAGAAGAGCAGUGGUACCGCAUCCUUUCUCUGGUCUCCAGGUUUAAGUGGAAUGGCGUUGCGGUUGCCAUUGUUGGAUACCUCCUACGUUUGUGCUUCUGCUCGUCUGGUGCCUAGCUCAACUCUAGGUAGCUCAAAUCUACCGAAAAACAGCUCAACAGCGUCUCGUCUCCCUGCUUGAUUACCACAAUUCAGUUCGAAAGCAAAAUCAGGUCAAGAUCACCCUGCAUAGUAGGAAACAAUUGCAAAUUGAACAGAAUUCCAUUGAAACAUAAAUAGGUUAUGACUUCACCAAAGAAACAUUAGGAAGGGAAACAUGAAUGUUAUAUAUCUUGAGAUGAACCGCUUCAUCCAUGAAUAAACUCCAAUAUAUUAUUAUUGCUCGUAUCUCGCACUUAUUACAGAAAGAAAACAAGAAAGUACUAUGGUCUCGCAGGUAAAAAAUAUCAGCAAACAUUUCUCUAUUGCUAAUUACAAUGGCUAUAAAAUUAGUUAAUACGGAUUAACACUGAUAAAUAAUCUAGAAUGUACGGCGCAUCGUCCUUUCAUUUCCCCUGCCUGAUAAAAAAAUGAACCAAGCUUCUCUUCUUGUUAUAUAUGCCUUGGUGGAGCUCAAAGAGUCAUGUCUGUAUCAGGAAAGAAUAACAACUAAUACCACCGCUGAAGCAAUACCUUAAGAUAGGCACAGUAGCAGCCUGGGCAUCUGCAGGAGUUCCUUCUGCUUGGACUUUCUUCCAACUCAUGUACCCUUAGUCAGUCGUAGGCACUACCUACGCAAUUCUGAAUUUGCAUCACUCAUUUGAAUCUACCUUCACCAGUACCUCAAAAUCAUAAAUUUGUGAAUUCAUCACAUAUACAGUGCAGAAAACUAUCUAAUAAAAAACCAUAUUUGCUGCACCAUCAUGCCAUUGGGUUCUAGUAGUGCAACAGUACUGGUAGUCGCAUUAGUAGGCUCAGCGCAUGUUUGAUUUACGCCGUGUCAUUCACUUUGAACGGAAUAAUUUCUGUGCUGCAAGACGUACUUGUGAAUCAAUGUAUUGCUCACCGUACCCACAAUCCACAAUAAAAGAAGCUGGGAUCAGACACUUACUUUUGGCGUAUUAUAUUCAUCUCUAGAGUGGAGACACUGAUGUACCAUCUCAUAACUAAUGACAAC
rnacentral:lncRNA from 1 species